GGGGGAUUAGCUCAAAUGGCAGAGCGCCCGCUUAGCAUGCGGGAGGCAGGGAGAUCGAUACUCCCAUUCUCCA